rnacentral:tRNA from 1 species
GCAGUCGUGCCUGAGCGGUUAAGGCGUCUGAUUAGAAAUCAGUUUCCCUUCUGGGGAGCGUAGGUUGGAAUCCUGCCGACUGCG